AUUGAACGCUGGCGGCAUGCUUUACACAUGCAAGUCGAACGGUAACAGGCCGCAAGGUGCUGACGAGUGGCGAACGGGUGAGUAAUGCAUCGGAACGUGCCCAGUCGUGGGGGAUAACGCAGCGAAAGCUGCGCUAAUGCCGCAUACGAUCUAUGGAUGAAAGCGGGGGACCGUAAGGCCUCGCGCGAUUGGAGCGGCCGAUGUCAGAUUAGGUAGUUGGUGGGGUAAAGGCUCACCGAGCCAACGAUCUGUAGCUGGUCUGAGAGGACGACCAGCCACACUGGGACUGAGACACGGCCCAGACUCCUACGGGAGGCAGCAGUGGGGAAUUUUGGACAAUGGGCGCAAGCCUGAUCCAGCAAUGCCGCGUGCAGGAAGAAGGCCUUCGGGUUGUAAACUGCUUUUGUACGGAACGAAACGGCUCUGGUUAAUACCUGGGGCUAAUGACGGUACCGUAAGAAUAAGCACCGGCUAACUACGUGCCAGCAGCCGCGGUAACAC
rnacentral:rRNA from 1 species